CCUACGGGUGGCAGCAGUAGGGAAUCUUGCUCAAUGGGGGAAACCCUGAACCAGCAACGCCGCGUGGAGGAUGAAGGUUUUCGGAUUGUAAACUCCUUUUGUAAGAGAAGAUAAAGACGGUAUCUAACGAAUAAGCACCGUCUAAAUCCGUGCCAGCACCCGCGGUACUACGGAGGGUGCAAGCGGUACUCGGAAUCGCUGGGCGUAAAGAGCGGGUAGGCGGGAUAGCAGGGCAGGGGGGAAAUGCUAUGGCCUAACCAUAGAACCGCAUUGGAAACUGUUAUUCUAGAGUAUGGAAGAGGUAGGUGGAAUUCUUGGUGUAGGGGUGAAAUCCGUAGAGAUCAAGAGGAAUACUCAUUGCGAAGGCGACCUGCUGGACCGUAACUGACGCUGAUGCGCGAAAGCGUGGGGAGCAAACAGGAUUAGAUACCCUAGUAGUC
rnacentral:rRNA from 1 species